UACGUAGGGGGCAAGCGUUGUCCGGAGUUACUGGGCGUAAAGCGCACGCAGGCGGUCUGUUAAGUUUGGAGUGACAGUUGGUGGCUUAACUGCCAAAGUGCUUCGAAAACUGAUCGACUUGAGGGCUUCAGAGGGACACGGAAUUCCGGGUGGAGUGGUGAAAUGCGUAGAGGUCCGGAGGAACACCGAAGGCGAAGGCAGUGUCCUGGGGAGUACCUGACGCUCAGGUGCGAAAGCCAGGGGAGCGAACGGG
rnacentral:rRNA from 1 species